GAUGAACGCUGGCGGCGUGCCUAAUACAUGCAAGUCGAGCGAACAGACGAGGAGCUUGCUCCUCUGACGUUAGCGGCGGACGGGUGAGUAACACGUGGAUAACCUAGCUAUAAGACUGGGAUAACUUCGGGAAACCGGAGCUAAUACCGGAUAAUAUAUUGAACCGCAUGGUUCACUAGUGAAAGACGGUUUUGCGGUCACUUAUAGAUGGAUCCGCGCCGCAUUAGGUAGUUGGUACGGUAAAGGCUUACCAAGGCUACGAUGGGAAGCCGCCCUGAGAGGGACAUCCGCCACCCUGUAUCUGAGGCACGGUCCAGACUCCUACGCGAGGCCGCAGUACGGACUCUUCCGCAAUGGGCGAAAGCCUGACGGAGCACCGCCGCGUGAGUGAUGAAGUUCUUCGGAUCGUAGAGCUCUGUUAUUCGUGAAGAACAAAUGUGUAAUUAGCUAUGCACGUCUUGACGGUACCUGAUCAGAAAGCCCCGGCUAACUCCGUG
rnacentral:rRNA from 1 species